GCCGCCCUUCGCUGCGGGAGACGCCGCAGGUCGCCGCCCGUCGCGCCCUUCGCCGCGGGAGAAAUGGAGCCGCCGCCCGUCGCUUGCCGCGGGAGCCGCCGCAGGUUGCCGCCUGUCACGUCCUUCGCCUUGUCGCGCCCUUCGCCGCGGGAGAGCCGGAGCAGCCGCCCGUCGCGCGCCGGGGGAGCCUCCUCAGGUCGCCGCGGUAGAGCCGGAGUCGCCGCGAUCGUGAGCAGCCGCCCGCCGUCCUCCCCUACGCGGUCGAACCUUCCUUCGGCCCCUCCUCGCGCCGCCCCUCUCCUUUGCCCCGGCCGUCAAGACCCCGCGGUCGCUUCACCGGGUUGCGGCACCGCCCCAUCCUUGAGGUGGGAUGACCAAAUCCAGAAUCGCCUUACCUAACGGGGAUGGACUAGAGAUUUGCAUCCAAUCAGCCAAUCAGGCCUCCCUCAUCUCCACUAAGUGCAUCUGAACACAUGACUUCUUGCACGGUAUGUGUUCGACGAUUUUUCUCUGAAGGCACAAGUUGCUGCUAUGUUGAUUCAACCUUUGGGUAGCAUUCUGAUUAAAGUGAUUUGGUUUCUUUUUUCAACCUUUGGGUUGUAUUCUGAUGGAAGUGAUUUUGUUCUUCCAAUCUAUGUGUAGAAUGUUCUGUUUGUGGAGCAAGUAGGCGAACCAUUGGAGCGACGUGAUACUCCAUAUUGGCAUAAUCCCACUAAAUAGCAUGGUUAAUGAUUCCGAUUUUAGCAUCUAAUAAUUUUUCCAAUUACUUACAACUCUUAUUCAUAUAUGGUUAUUUGCUGUAAUGUACAGAACAUUUUUCAUAUAUCAUGACCCUUUGCAGUGUUUAUUUGGAACACAGGAUUCCUAAUUUUUGGACCUGUACACAACCAGAUUUUGGGGAUUUAUAAUGUGAGUGAGUUAUUAUGUUACUUGAAUCGGUGUACGUAACCUGGUUUUGUUGGGGCUUGGUUUUCAGUGAUUCCAACAGGUCAGUGACUUUCCACGCUCUCAGACAACAACAUUCUUAAUUCAAACGGUGAUGUGAUUUUAUCCAUAUGAAUAUUGUGUUAUCGUUUGUUUUAAUUCAAGUGAUAUUACACAUGUAGCUUGCUGGGUAUAUUUUACAUAUUUACUUUUGGAAAUUUCUUAGAGAUUAUGGAUGACAGCAGACAACAUUGCAGAUACGUUGCAGCUGGGCACCCUGAUCAGGUUUCCUUUUUGGAAAUCUGGUCCAAGCCCCACUACAGUUUUAUAUAAGGAUGUUGGAGGCAGCAUCGGAAGAGAUAAGUCUGCGGGAAUCUUGUCCAAACUCCACAUCGCUGUCACCGAACAAAGUUGGAGGUACAAUUGAAAGAGACCAGCCAGAUUCUUGUUCCGGGUAUUAAAAAGAAACCUGGCUAGAGAUUUCAUGCCAUGUCAUUCCAUUUAUGUUUGCUUGUGUGCUUAUCAUAUCUGAUUACAUGAUUGACAUUUAUUUCAUAAUUAGUAUAUACUUUGACACAUGAUAUGUUUUGCUUUAUUUAUGAACAACAGGAUACGUUUACUUUUUGUGAUCAUAUAAGUGAACAAACAUAGCCAAUGGUUAAAGUUUAUAUCUACUAUGUAUGUAUAUUUUUCAUUCACACAUGUCUCACUGCCUUUUAAGCACUUAAGAGAGCAGAACUGGAGAUUGCUCUCAUUAAAUGUGAACAAAAUUGAUGUUCUUUUUUUUGCAAAAUAGUAAAUACUGUGUUCUCUUGAUUGUUUUUUUAUCUUUUCAGUUUACCUGAAUCUAAGAAGUCCGACCAUCAAUUAAUGAGAGAUUUUUGCUUCUAUCAUUCAUGGAACCAUUGAAAUGAAAUACAUACCUUGGCUCAACCAAUACUUCACAAUCUUUUUGCCCAAAGCAAACAAUAUCAUUAUUUAUAUGUUCUAAAUUAAAAUAUUUUCGCUUGUGUGCUCAAUUAAAAUUUUACCGCUUAAAGGAAAAGAAACCAUUUUUAUCACUCCUACAGUUCACAGGGAGAGAGAACAAGAAAGAAAACCUUUCACCAAAAUCUUGUCUUCCUACUUACUUUUACUUACCAAGAAGAAUCAACAAUAAUUGAAUCUUUUAAGAAAAUGGAUAAAAGAUCAUUUUUAGUUAGUAAUGUACAACUCCCAACUUGUCUCUUUUACUUCUUUUUCUGUGCAUGUGCACCCUGUUGAAUGGUGUUGUACUUGUACAUAAUGGAAUUGCAAGCAAAACAAUGUUAUGGAUGGUCUACAAGAUUAUCUGGAUGAAUUCAUCUCCAGGGUAAAAGAAGGUAGGCAAUGUGCAUGACAUUUGAUUUGAAAUAAUAUUGCCUUGAAAAUGUAUGAGUGCUUUCUUGGCAUCUGACAUUGCAGAAUCAAACAUUGAUGCAUACCUUUGUAAAUUCUCUCGGGGAGAAAAAGUAUAAUUUGCAAGUUGCAACAUUGAUUCCAAAAUACAUGGUGUUCACACAUAUCUAUUUUAUGUAGUUUGUGAUAAACCAAAAUGUUCAGAGUUUUUGGAAGCACCAUCAAUGGUCUCUAUUUAUAUGGAGAUAAGUUAUGAAAAAAUGAGGUUCAACAACUUUGAACCUAUCUCUUGCUAGAUGUAAGGGCCUGAAAACAUGGUUUCAGGUCUAUAUGAUGAAUGUUACCUUCGCUGUUUCUUUUGUGUGUCAUCU